rnacentral:rRNA from 1 species
AAGAAUAAGCACCGGCUAACUACGUGCCAGCAGCCGCGGUAAUACGAAGGGGGCUAGCGUUGUUCGGAAUUACUGGGCGUAAAGCGCACGUAGGCGGAUAUUUAAGUCAGGGGUGAAAUCCCAGAGCUCAACUCUGGAACUGCCUUUGAUACUGGGUAUCUUGAGUAUGGAAGAGGUAAGUGGAAUUCCGAGUGUAGAGGUGAAAUUCGUAGAUAUUCGGAGGAACACCGAUGGCGAAGGCAAUCCCCUGGACCUGUACUGACGCUCAUGCACGAAAGCGUGGGGAGCAAACAGGAU